CACAAGAUUCUAGAAGGCCAAAGACAGCCUUACCUCCUGAAUCCAGGAGAAUCAAGGUCCACUAUGGGUUAACCCCUGGUCUACAAAGAGUCCAAGAACUAGGGUUACACAGUCUGGGAGGCCAGGGAUUACGUCAACACAGAGCCAGACUUGUUGGGGGCAAGGAGAUGUCAGAUAUCUAUCCUGCCAUCAGGAGGGUAUUUGGAAUUCUAUCAUCUCUAGCUGUACUGGUAUGACACAGAAUGCUGGAGAUACAAUGGUGAACAAGACAGAAGAGGUGCCUACCUUCAGGGAAUUCCAGUGAGGAAGACGGCAGUGAUGAAGAUCUUUUCAACUGUUUUAUAGGAAGGGAGGAAGAAUAGCAUACGGGACAUGGAUGAAUCUGGAGAACAUCAUCCUCAGCAAACUGACACAAGAACAGAAAAUGAAACACCGCAUAUUCUCACUCAUAGAGCUUCAUAAUUCUAGGACCUCAGCAAUGAAUUACAGGUGUGCCAGAGGUGUGGCUGAUCUGCCGGAUUUGGCAGGAUCCAGGUGCCAGAGCUCCUGGGAUGUCUGCCUCCUCUCUAGCCUGCUUCACAUCAUUUAGGCAGAAAAGGCAGGUGUACAUUUUUCUGCCUUCCCCUAUAACUCAGUCAUGAGAUGCAACUCAGUUUUGGACAAUGGACCCCAAAGGAAAUCCAUGGGAAGACAAAUGUAAAACAUAUUCCUUCCUGAAACAAAAUGAGGAGGAAUUGUUGAGAAAAAGUCCUCUUUCUCUUCCUGGUUUUGGAUGUUGAUGUAUAAGAAUGUGAAGUAUGUACCUGCUGAGGGAAUCACCGUGAAGCCAGCCCUGAAUCCCGACACUGUCAAGGCCUGAAGCAACCCAGGAAUUACUUAUGUUCUCAUUUCCUAUUAUUUGUGAAAUAUAAACUCUUUCUGUUUAAUCAACUUUCAAAUGGGGUUUUUGUAACUUGCAGCCAAAAGCAUUCCU
rnacentral:lncRNA from 1 species